CGGCACAACCAAGCAUACAGUAGGAAGUCAACCCAGUACAGGUGCAAUCUACUUUCAGUCCCGUGUGACGGCACAACCAAGCAUAAAGUAGGAAGUCAACCCAGUAAAGGUGCAAUCUACUUUCAGUCCCGUGUGACGGCACAACCAAGCAUACAGUAGGAAGUCAACCCAGUACAGGUGCAAUCUACUUUCAGUCUCGUGUGACGGCACAACCAAGCAUACAGUAGGAAGUCAACCCAGUAAAGGUGCAAUCUACUGUCAGUCCCGUGUGACGGCACAACCAAGCAUACAGUAGGAAGUCAACCCAGUAAGGUGCAAUCUACUUUCAGUCCCGUGUGACGGCACAACCAAGCAUACAGUAGGAAGUCAACCCAGUAAAGGUGCAAUCUACUUUCAGUCCCGUGUGACGGCACAACCAAGCAUACAGUAGGAAGUCAACCCAGUAAAGGUGCAAUCUACUUUCAGUCCCGUGUGACGGCACAACCAAGCAUACAGUAGGAAGUCAACCCAGUACAGGUGCAAUCUACUUUCAGUCCCGUGUGACGGCACAACCAAGCAUACAGUAGGAAGUCAACCCAGUAAAGGUGCAAUCUACUUUCAGUCCCGUGUGACGGCACAACCAAGCAUACAGUAGGAAGUCAACCCAGU
ensembl:lncRNA